AGUGAACGCUGGCGGUAGGCCUAACACAUGCAAGUCGAACGGCAGCACAGUAAGAGCCUGCUCUUACGGGUGGCGAGUGGCGGACGGGUGAGGAAUACAUCGGAAUCUACUUUUUCGUGGGGGAUAACGUAGGGAAACUUACGCUAAUACCGCAUACGACCUACGGGUGAAAGCAGGGGAUCUUCGGACCUUGCGCGAUUGAAUGAGCCGAUGUCGGAUUAGCUAGUUGGCGUGGUAAAGGCCCACCAAGGCGACGAUCCGUAGCUGGUCUGAGAGGAUGAUAAGCCACACUGGAACUGAGACACGGUCCAGACUCCUACGGGAGGCAGCAGUGGGGAAUAUUGGACAAUGGGCGCAAGCAUGAUACAGCAAUACCGCGUGGGUGAAGAAGGACUUCGGGUUGUAAAGCCCUUUUGUUGGGAAGGAAAAGCAGCAGGUUAAUACCCCGCUGUUCUGACGGUACCAAAAGAAUAAGCACCGGCUAACUUCGUG
rnacentral:rRNA from 1 species